rnacentral:rRNA from 1 species
UGCCGCGUGAGUGAAGAAGGCCUUCGGGUUGUAAAGCUCUUUCAGUUAGAAAAGAAAAAACUAGUAACUAAUAAUUAUAGUUUAUGACGGUAUCAACAGAAGAAGCACCGGCUAACUACGUGCCAGCAGCCGCGGUAAUACGUAGGGUGCAAGCGUUAAUCGGAAUUACUGGGCGUAAAGGGUGCGCAGGCGGUUCUGUAAGUCAGAUGUGAAAUCCCCGGGCUUAACCUGGGAACUGCGUUUGAAACUGCAGAGCUAGAGUGCGGCAGAGGGAGGUGGAAUUCCAUGUGUAGCAGUGAAAUGCGUAGAGAUAUGGAAGAACAUCGAUGGCGAAGGCAACCUCCUGGGGCUAGCACUGACGCUCAUGCACGAAAGCGUGGGGAGCAAACAGGAUUAGAUACCCUGGUAGUCCACGCCCUAAAACUAUGUCAACUAGUUGUCGGGCCUUAUUAGGUUUGGUAACGUAGCUAACGCGUGAAGUUGACCGCCUGGGGAGUACGGUCGCAAGAUUAAAAACUCAAAGGAAUUGACGGGGA